rnacentral:rRNA from 1 species
UCGGGAAUUUUGGGCAAUGGGCGAAAGCCUGACCCAGCAACGCCGCGUGAGGGAUGAGGUAUUUCGGUAUGUAAACCUCGAAAGAAUGGGAAGAAUAAAUGACGGUACCAUUUAUAAGCUCCGGCUAACUACGUGCCAGCAGCCGCGGUAAUACGUAGGGAGCAAGCGUUGUUCGGAUUUACUGGGCGUAAAGGGCGCGUAGGCGGCGCGGUAAGUCACUUGUGAAAUCUCUGAGCUUAACUCAGAACGGCCAAGUGAUACUGCUGUGCUAGAGUGCGGAAGAGGCAACCGGAAUUCUUGGUGUAGCGGUGAAAUGCGUAGAUAUCAAGAGGAACACCUGAGGCGAAGGCGGGUUGCUGGGCCGACACUGACGCUGAUGCGCGAAAGCCAGGGGAUCAAAC